rnacentral:rRNA from 1 species
UGAACGCGAAGAACCUUACCAGCCCUUGACAUCCCGGUCGCGGACUCCAGAGACGGAGUUCUUCAGUUCGGCUGGACCGGAGACAGGUGCUGCAUGGAUAUAGACAGCUCGUGUCGUGAGAUGUUGGGUUAAGUCCCGCAACGAGCGCAACCCCCGUCCUUAGUUGCUACCAUUUAGUUGAGCACUCUAAGGAGACUGCCGGUGAUAAGCCGCGAGGAAGGUGGGGAUGACGUCAAGUCCUCAUGGCCCUUACGGGCUGGGCUACACACGUGCUACAAUGGCGGUGACAAUGGGAUGCUAAGGGGCGACCCUUCGCAAAUCUCAAAAAGCCGUCUCAGUUCUUUUUUGUGCUCUGCAACUCGAGCCCAUGAAGUUGGAAUCGCUAGUAAUCGUGGAUCAGCACGCCACGGUGAAUACGUUCCCGGGUCUUGUACACACGCAA